UACGUAGGGUGCGAGCGUUGUCCGGAAUUACUGGGCGUAAAGAGCUCGUAGGUGGUUUGUCGCGUUGUUCGUGAAAACUCACAGCUUAACUGUGGGCGUGCGGGCGAUACGGGCAGACUGGAGUACUGCAGGGGAGACUGGAAUUCCUGGUGUAGCGGUGGAAUGCGCAGAUAUCAGGAGGAACACCGGUGGCGAAGGCGGGUCUCUGGGCAGUAACUGACGCUGAGGAGCGAAAGCGUGGGGAGCGAUCAGG
rnacentral:rRNA from 1 species